rnacentral:rRNA from 1 species
CCUACGGGAGGCAGCAGUAGGGAAUCUUCCACAAUGGACGAAAGUCUGAUGGAGCAACGCCGCGUGAGUGAAGAAGGGUUUCGGCUCGUAAAGCUCUGUUGGUAGUGAAGAAGGAUAGAGGUAGUAACUGGCCUUUGUUUGACGGUAAUCAACCAGAAAGUCACGGCUAACUACGUGCCAGCAGCCGCGGUAAUACGUAGGU